GACGGAGGGGGCUAGCGUUGUUCGGAAUUACUGGGCGUAAAGAGCGCGUAGGCGGCUUAACAAGUUGGGAGUGAAAGCCCGGGGCUUAACCUCGGAACUGCUUUCAAAACUGUUAGGCUAGAGUAUAGUAGAGGGUGAUAGAAUUCCUAGUGUAGAGGUGAAAUUCUUAGAUAUUAGGAGGAAUACCGGUGGCGAAGGCGGUCACCUGGGCUAUUACUGACGCUGAGGCGCGAAAGCGUGGGGAGCAAAC
rnacentral:rRNA from 1 species